GAUUCUGGCUCAGGAUGAACGCUGGCGGCGUGCUUAACACAUGCAAGUCGAGCGAAGCACUUAAGUUUGAUUCUUCGGAUGAAGACUUUUGUGACUGAGCGGCGGACGGGUGAGUAAUGCGUGGGUAACCUGCCUCAUACAGGGGGAUAACAGUUAGAAAUGACUGCUAAUACCGCAUAAGACCACGGUACCGCAUGGCACAGUGGUAAAAACUCCGGUGGUAUGAGAUGGACCCGCG
rnacentral:rRNA from 1 species